rnacentral:lncRNA from 10 species
ACAAUAGGAGAAAAAACAGGCAAGAAAGAGGACAGCACACGAGUAUCUGAAGAAAAGGUUGAAAUGUUACUGUAAUAAAAGCGGAAAUAAAUUUCUACACAGGCUUCUUUAGAAAUGGUCCGGGAGAGAGACAGAAGAAGUAAAAGGAUGAGGCCAUAUCCCAGAAGCCAAGAAGGCAGAUUCUGUCGAAGAGGGUGACAGGGUGCCCUACACUGUAAAAUGCUUCAAACAGAUUUAGGAGAGUGAGGACCAAAAAGCUGUGACCUUGACAACCAGAAAUUCACAGUGACCUUUGAGGAAACAGUUUUCUCAAGAUGUGGAAAUGGAAGUCAGAAUGCAAAGAGUUGAGGAGCAAGUGCAUGGUGGUGAAGCCAACCUAUUUUUUAAUUAACCAGGGUCAAUGUACUUUAAAAGUCUUCAGAAUGCCUGUAAGUUUCCUUUACUAGUUCCAUGUACUUUCUUGUUUUCCCAUAAAAAUCUGGAUUUGUGGCAGAAGAGAAUGAAAAAAAUUAAAAAUUAAAAGCGCUGCUUUUCCUUAAGCACUGACAAAAUACAAUAAAAGCUGAUUCUUAUUAA